rnacentral:rRNA from 1 species
GAUGAACGCUGGCGGCGUGCCUAAUACAUGCAAGUCGAGCGAACAGACGAGGAGCUUGCUCCUCUGACGUUAGCGGCUGACGGGUGAGUAACACGUGGAUAACCUACCUAUAAGACUGGGAUAACUUCGGGAAACCGGAGCUAAUACCGGAUAAUAUAUUGAACCGCAUGGUUCAAUAGUGAAAGACGGUUUUGCUGUCACUUAUAGAUGGAUCCGCGCCGCAUUAGCUAGUUGGUAAGGUAACGGCUUACCAAGGCGACGAUGCGUAGCCGACCUGAGAGGGUGAUCGGCCACACUGGAACUGAGACACGGUCCAGACUCCUACGGGAGGCAGCAGUAGGGAAUCUUCCGCAAUGGGCGAAAGCCUGACGGAGCAACGCCGCGUGAGUGAUGAAGGUCUUCGGAUCGUAAAACUCUGUUAUUAGGGAAGAAAAAAUGUGUAAGUAACUAUGCACGUCUUGACGGUACCUAAUCAGAAAGCCACGGCUAACUACGUG